AUAUACAAUCUAAAAUUUAAAAAUAAAUAUGAGAUCAGAUCUUAUUACCUUGGCAUAGGUAGAUAUUCAUCACUUCUGAUAAUCACAGAUUCGUAGAUGCUCGAACUGCACACGUGUCCGACCUCUAUGGGUAUCCAUUAAGAUCAAUCUCAAACUAAUUUUUCCUUGAAAAAGACUCUCCUUUUCAAAAAAAAUCUUAGCCUUGAGCACUUUGAUCAACAUCUUGAUCUGGACUAUGAGAUCAACUCUUUGAUUAGCAAUCUUCUUCUUCUUCUCCUUGAUCUUCACUCUUGAAGACAAAGUAGCACCUCUUGACGUGUGGA
rnacentral:lncRNA from 1 species